CGGGGUGCAGCAGGCGCGAAAACUUUGCAAUGCGGGAAACCGUGACAAGGGAAUCUGAGUGCCCGUAAAAUCGGGCUGUCCAUCGGUUUAAAAAACCGGUGAAGAAAGGGCCGGGCAAGACCGGUGCCAGCCGCCGCGGUAAUACCGGCGGCUCGAGUGGUGGCCACUAUUACUGGGCUUAAAGCGUUCGUAGCUGGUUUGUUAAGUCUCUGGGGAAAUCUUCCGGCUUAACCGGAAGGCGUCUCAGGGAUACUGGCAGACUAGGGACCGGGAGAGGUGAGAGGUACUCCAGGGGUAGGAGUGAAAUCCUGUAAUCCUUGGGGGACCACCUGUGGCGAAGGCGUCUCACCAGAACGGCUCCGACAGUGAGGGACGAAAGCUGGGGGAGCAAACCGGAUUAGAUACCCGGGUAGUCCCAGCUGUAAACGAUGCGCGUUAGGUGUAUCAGCGACCACGAGUCGCUGAGGUGCCGAAGAGAAAUCGUGAAACGUGCCGCCUGGGAAGUACGGUCGCAAGGCUGAAACUUAAAGGAAUUGGCGGGGGAGCACAAGGGCGAAUUCGCG
rnacentral:rRNA from 1 species